rnacentral:misc_RNA from 1 species
AGGGUAGCUUGAGAUCAACCAGGGUGUAUGACCUAGGGCUUGGAUACAAUUGAAGCCAACACACCUGAGGCUGAGCCGCUGAGGUGUAUCUUUGAUGAAUAUGAUACUGCAGAAGUCAUUUUUUUUUUCUCCUUGUAGUUGAUCAAAAUAUUUAUUGAGAAACAAAAACAUUAUCAUUUCUAUAUAUGCCAUGCCAUAGAGAUAUCUAUAAAACAAUAUCUACAAAAGUUUCACUUUAAGAUAUCAUAGGUUCAUAGUUAGAAUAUGCUAGAAAAUCAACUCCCUUAUCUAUCUGCUUUAUUUUUGAAUCAGAAAGGUUCCACUUUCUUGCAUUCUUUCUGGACUUUCAAGUCCUUAUGGUUGCGGCAACAUAUAAUAUAAUUUGUAUUCAAUUUUUAGCAUUCCCACUU